CUCUCCAAAUUUGUCAAACCUUUCAGGUGUACCAAACAUGCAUCUGUGAUGUCACUGAAGCCCAAGUUUAGCACCUUUAGUUUUCUGAGCUUGGAAAAACCCUCACAUCCUUCAUCAGAAAGAUGGCAUCUGUUAAGAUUCAAAUACGACAGUGAAGCAAGAGCUGAGAGAGUAUCCAAGCAUGCAGCCGUGACAGGGCACCCUUCUAAGUUUAACAGAUUAAGAAAUAAGAAAUGCCGAUAUCCGUAACCUUGCUGCAGGAGAUUUGUAAUACUUUCAAAUUCGUCAACCCAGAAAGAUGCUUUAUAUCAGCAUCCGUUAUGCUCACCAUUUGAUAUUAAGUGACUCCAACUUUGUCAACCCUUUCAGAUGAACAAGUCCACCUCCAAUGCCAGGACACCUCUCCAAAUCCAAUUUCACCAAGUUAACUAAGCUAGC
rnacentral:misc_RNA from 1 species